rnacentral:siRNA from 1 species
CCGUCGAUCCUUCUCAGAUGCA